rnacentral:tRNA from 1 species
GGCGUUAUAACAUAACGGGAUUGUAGUAGUUUGCAAAAUUAUUUGUAUAGGUUCGAUUCCUAUUAACGCCU